UACGUAGGUGGCAAGCGUUGUCCGGAAUCACUGGGCGUAAAGCGCGCGCAGGCGGCGAUCUACGUCUGGGUGAAAGCCCGGAGCUCAACUCCGGACUGCCUUGGAUACGGGAUCGCUUGAGGAUUGGAGAGGCAAGGGGAAUUCCACGUGUAGCGGUGAAAUGCGUAGAUAUGUGGAGGAACACCUGUGGGCGAAGGCGCCUUGC
rnacentral:rRNA from 1 species